rnacentral:rRNA from 1 species
UUUAGUGGGGAAUAACUGUUGGAAACGACAGCUAAUACCGCAUAAUAUUGCUGGAUAAUUUCCAGUAAUGAAAGGAGCUUUCAAGCUCCGCUGAUUGAUGAGGAUGCGGCGCAUUAGCUAGUUGGUAGGGUAAUGGCCUACCAAGGCAAUGAUGCGUAGCCGAUCUGAGAGGAUGAACGGCCACAUUGGGACUGAGACACGGCCCAAACUUCUACGGAAGGCAGCAGUAGGGAAUUUUUCACAAUGGGCGAAAGCCUGAUGGAGCAAUGCCGCGUGACUGAUGAAGGUCUUCGGAUUGUAAAGGUCUGUUGUAAGGGAAGAAAUGGUAAAACAGGAAAUGGUUUUAUCUAUGACGGUACCUUACCAGAAAGCCACGGCUAACUAUGUGCAGCAGCCGCGGUAAUACAUAGGUGGCAAGCGUUAUCCGGAUUUAUUGGGCGUAAAGGGUGCGUAGACGGUUUUGCAAGUCUGANGUUAAAUUUAGGAGCUCAACUCCUAAUCGCCUUGGAAACUACAAGACUAGAGUAUAGGAGAGGUUAGUGGAAUUCCAUGUGUAGCGGUGGAAUGUGUAGAUAUAUGGAGGAACACCAGUGGCGAA